UUUCNGUAGGUGAACCUGCGGAAGGAUCAU
rnacentral:rRNA from 1 species